UACAGAGGGGGCAAGCGUUGUUCGGAAUUACUGGGCGUAAAGGGCGCGUAGGCGGCCUUCUAAGUCGAACGUGAAAUCCCCGGGCUCAACCCGGGAACUGCGUCCGAUACUGGAAGGCUUGAAUCCGGGAGAGGGAUGCGGAAUUCCAGGUGUAGCGGUGAAAUGCGUAGAUAUCUGGAGGAACACCGGUGGCGAAGGCGGCAUCCUGGACCGGCAUUGACGCUGAGGCGCGAAAGCGUGGGGAGCGAACGGG
rnacentral:rRNA from 1 species